rnacentral:rRNA from 1 species
GGUCGCCUACGGGGCGCAGCAGUAGGGAAUCUUCCACAAUGGACGAAAGUCUGAUGGAGCAACGCCGCGUGAGUGAAGAAGGGUUUCGGCUCGUAAAGCUCUGUUGGUAGUGAAGAAAGAUAGAGGUAGUAACUGGCCUUUAUUUGACGGUAAUUACUUAGAAAGUCACGGCUAACUACGUGCCAGCAGCCGCGGUAAUACGUAGGUGGCAAGCGUUGUCCGGAUUUAUUGGGCGUAAAGCGAGUGCAGGCGGUUCAAUAAAGCUGAUGUGAAAGCCUUCGGCUCAAC